rnacentral:rRNA from 1 species
CCUACGGGAGGCUGCAGUGGGGGAUAUUGCACAAUGGGGGGAACCCUGAUGCAGCGACGCCGCGUGGGUGAAGAAGCGCCUCGGCGCGUAAAGCCCUUUCAGCAGGGAAGAAAAUGACGGUACCUGAAGAAGAAGCCCCGGCUAACUACGUGGCAGCAGCCGCGGUAAUACGUAGGGGGCACGCGAUAUCCGGAUUUACUGGGUGUAAAGGGGGCGCAGACGGCGAUGCAAGCCAGGAGUGAAAGCCCGGGGCCCAACCCCGGGACGGCGCUUGGAACUGGGUGGCUGGAGUGCGGGAGGGGCAGGCGGAAUGCGUGGUGUAGCGGUGAAAUGCGUAGAUAUCAGGCAGAACACCGAUGGCGAAGGCGGUCUGCUGGACUGCAACUGACGUUGAGGCACGAAAGCGUGGGGAGCGAACAGGAUUAGAUACCCGUGUAGUC